GGGCGGGUGAGGGCGUGGGGGGCGGACUCAGGGUCCGUCUGCUCCGGGAACGGACGUCGUCGCAGCCGAGUGAAUUUCGUGUACAUAAGCGUGGAAAACGCUCUUGCAGAUCUCGCGGCAGCCACGCGCAGCGGGGACGUUUUGCCGGGGGUUGAGCUCCCCGCCCCUCUGCCCCGCAGGGGCCGGACACAGGCGCAGACUCCCUCCUGAGCGUGGGUUCCUCCGCGUGAAACGGGCACGAAGCCCACCCCGGCGCUGUCGCCAAAACUGAGAUCUGAGCGCCUUCAGGGGGCCGGGGCCUGGCGGAGACCGGGCCCGCAGCGGGAGCGCGAGCGACGGCCGCCCUCCCAGGCACCGGGAGGCUGUGGCGCCCACCGAGCUCCGCGGAGCCGUGAAGGAGAGUCCAGGCUUCUUCCUCCACCACCUCCUCCAGGAAGCCCUCCCUCCUCAGCCCAGCUGGAGGAGAUCGCUCCAUCUUUCCUGCCGCUCCCACUCCUAGCUUUGGGUCUCACCAGGGGUGCCUGGUGGUGCAGCCGUGAGCAGAGCUCCUGUUCCCACAAGCCGGGCCGAGCUCCCAAGGCCAUGGCUACCACAGCUCUCUUGCCGCUGGCCAAGUUGGUCAGCCCUAGGGCGAGGGUUCCAGUGCCUUGAUCCAACCCCCAGCUGGUUCGGUGGCAGAGGAGGACAAGGGUCACAGCACACACACAAUCCUGAGCCUGGGAUUCCUCUCUGAGAAAGGGGGUGGUGCUGAGGCCACAGAAGCAGCUGCCCAGAGCCUUUUUGAAGGGGUUGAGCUCUGGGCCUGGUCUGGGUCCUGGGUCUGGGGAGGACCUGGGGAGGUGCGGGUGACGGCACCGCAGGUAAGGCUCCUGCAAGGUGGCAGCCUUGGGGCCCGACCCUGGGUAGGAGGGCAGGCCAGUGAUGACAAGGGAGGCCCCAGCCAGGCGAAGUUGCAGGCAGGGGCAGUGCAGGGUCCCAGCAGGUGAAGGCCCCGGGAGUGGAGUCUGCAGGGCCCUGGGCCAGAGUGUUCAGGGCACAGGUGACUAAGCCCAGCCAGGUCUUCAGCUCAAGGCCUAGGGGAAGUGGGGCUGGGCCCUGGUGAGCAGAUCCCUGGGCCCUUCCUGAGGUCUGGCCAGGCCGACCCCACCUGGAGGUGGCGGCUCAGGGCAUUUGACGCCUCCUUCCCAGUUCCCUGGCUCGGCAAGCAGCUGACCCUCAGGUGGACAGCAGCUAGACCAGGCCCCUGAGUGACACGGCUGGGUGGGGGUGUCCCACAGAGCCCACCUCCCAUCUCGCUCCAGGCUAGAGCUCAGGGUCAGUCACAGGCUGCCACCCUAGAGAAGAGAGCACCUUUCAGGGGCAGCUGAAUGGAGACCCCUCAACAGGGAAAGCCGGAAAUGACCCAGCGGCAGCCAUAUCUCUAGGACCGCCCCCGGGUGAAGGACAGACAACUGCACACCACAGAGCUCGGGAAAACCAACAGCAUCUCAGUGUAGCGGGGAGAUGGGCAGAUGGGG
rnacentral:lncRNA from 10 species